rnacentral:tRNA from 2 species
GGGGCCGUAGCUCAGCCAGGCAGAGCGGCGGAGCACUUGACCCGUAGGGCGGGGGUUCAAAUCCCUCCGGCCCCACCA